GGCUGCGUAGCUCAACUGAAUAGAGUACCUCACUACGGAUGAGGGGGUUUUAGGUUUGAAUCCUAACGCGGUCACCA
rnacentral:tRNA from 3 species